rnacentral:rRNA from 1 species
AGAAUCAACGCUGGCGGCGUGCCUCAGACAUGCAAGUCGAACGCGAAAGUCCCCUUCGGGGGACGAAGUAGAGUGGCGCACGGGUGAGUAACACGUAGGUAAUCUACCUUUGGAUGGGGAAUAACAACCGGAAACGGUUGCUAAUACCGCAUAAUGCAGCGGCACCUAAUGGUGACAGUUGUUAAAGCGGGGGAUCGAAAGACCUCGCGUCUAAAGAGGAGCCUGCGGCGGAUUAGCUAGUUGGUAAGGAAUGGCUUACCAAGGCUACGAUCCGUAACCGGCCUGAGAGGGCGGUCGGUCACACUGACACUGACAUACGGGUCAGACUCCUACGGGAGGGCAGCAGUCGGGAAUUUUGGGUCAAUGGGCGAAAGCCUGACCCAGCAACGCCGCGUGAAGGAUGAAAUCCCUCGGGAUGUAAACUUCG